rnacentral:rRNA from 1 species
CCCCUAGUAACGGCGAGUGAAGAGGGAAAAGCUCAAAUUUUGAAUCUGGUGUCUUUGGCAUCCGAGUUGUAAUCUAGAGAAGUGUUUUUUGCCUUGGACCACACAUAAAUUCCCUGGAAUGGGGUGUCAUAGAGGGUGAGAAUCCCGUUUGUGGUGUGGACUACCUUGGCUAUGUAAUACACUCUCAACGAGUCGAGUUGUUUGGGAAUGCAGCUCAAAAUGGGUGGUAAAUUCCAUCUAAAGCUAAAUACUGGCGAGAGACCGAUAGCGAACAAGUACCGUGAGGGAAAGAUGAAAAGCACUUUGGAAAGAGAGUGAAACAGUACGUGAAAUUGUUGAAAGGGAAGCGUUUGAAGUCAGUCACAUUGGUCAGAAUUCAGCCUGGCUUCUGCCUGGUUCACUUUUUGGCAAAUGGGUCAGCAUCAAUUUUGAUUGAGGGAGAAAGACUUGAGGAAUGUGGCUGUCUUCGGGCAGUGUUAUAGCCUCUUGUUGUAUGUCUCAAUUGGGAUUGAGGAAUGCAGCACGCCUUAUGGCUGGGGUUCGCCCUCGGUACGUGCUUAGGAUGUUGACAUAA